rnacentral:rRNA from 1 species
UUGACGGGGCCCGGCACAAGCGGUGGAGCAUGUGGUUCAAUUCGACGCAACGCGAGAACCUUACCUGGGCUUGACAUCCGCUGACAGUCCCGAAAACGGGAUCUUCCCGCAAGGGGACAGCGAGACAGGUGCUGCAUGGCUGUUGUCAGCUCGUGUCGUGAGAUGUUGGGUUAAGUCCCGCAACGAGCGCAACCCUCAUCCUUAGUUGCCAUCAUUGAGUUGGGAACUCUAAGGAAACUGCCUCGGUUAACGGGAGGAAGGUGGGGAUGACGUCAAGUCCUCAUGGCCUUUAUGUCCAGGGCUACACACGUGCUACAGUGGGCGGAACAAAGGGUUGCAAUACCGCAAGGUGGAGCUAAUCUCAAAAAACCGACUCUCAGUUCAGAUUGGAGUCUGCAACUCGACUCCAUGAAGGCGGAAUCGCUAGUAAUCGCGGAUCAGCAUGCCGCGGUGAAUACGUUCCCGGGCCUU